GCCUGGCUGGCUCAAUUGAAAGAGCAUGAGACUCUUGUUCUUGUGUUAUGAGUUCAAGCCCCAGGUUAGGUG
rnacentral:tRNA from 1 species